GGGAGCUUAGCUCAGUUGGUUCAGAGCAUCUGCCUUACAAGCAGAGGGUCAUAGGUUCGAGCCCUAUAGUUCCCA
rnacentral:tRNA from 1 species